rnacentral:lncRNA from 1 species
CGAAUAAUUACUGAUACCUUCAUAUUCAUAUGCACGUUGGCACUUACAAAGACGGCGACAUGAUGAUUCCAUUGCUACUUGUAAGCUCGGUGCGCAUGCUACGUGGCAUUGGCAUACAUACAUGGCCCGCAGGCCUCAGUUAGACACACUGCUUCAGCGUACACUCAUACAGUAACUCACGGAGAACAAUUAGUAGCUUGUACGUACUACAACCACGUAGAGUGCACAGGUAGCCACACACUUGUUUAAUUUACAGGCAGCAAACUCACUCACCCGACGAUCCCAGCUAGUAGCAGAGUACUUCUACAAGUCGAUCGUGGUGUACAACGACAACACAUACUUAGCACUUUAGCAGGCAGCAAUACGCAUCACACAAAUAAUUAGCACGAGCGAGCACAGGGAAGUGACAUAAGCACGCGCGUCCGACAUCACAUACAUAGAGUAGCUGGGCUACUACUCCUGUCGGUAGGGUGGAGUAGAGGUUGAAGAAGCCGUUGGUGCGUUGAGACUUGAGACGGUGGGCCGACGAUAGGGCGGUCAGGGGCACUUGGGCCUCUUCCUGGGGCCGGCGGUGAGCAUGUCGCGGUAGCAGGGGCACUCGUCGCGGCUGCCGCUCCUCCCCGUGGGCACGCAGGCGCACUCCUCGCAGCACAGCCCGCAGUACUUCAUGCACGCCCCCCGCUUCGCGCGCGACCGCCCGCACCGCACCGCGCACUUGCCCGCGCAGAACCCUGCACACCACACCACAGGCAUCCAUGGAUCAGCCGCUCGACCGCACGCUGCGUGAUGGAGGACACAGGACAGGACACGCGUGUGUAGCUAGGUAGUACGUACCUGAAGCAGCGUCGCCAGCCGGGAGCAGGGAGGCAGCGACGAGCAAGACGAGGAGCAGGGCGACCUGCGUCCGCAGCGCCCUGCACCUCGAUGGCUUGCUCAUCCUGGUCGAGCUUCAAGCUCUGCUAGCUGGGAUGCAGGAGCUUGCAGGAGGAGCUAGAUAAGGUGGUAGCAGAGUGGGAGUGUGGGUGUGAGGGUAGGGAGUGAGCGAGUGAGGAUGAUGUAGCUCAGGUCCGGGCACCUUUGUACCGGUCGAUCGGGAAGCCUCUGGAGAACGGGCGACGUGUCGCGCGGUCACGUGCACCUGCUCCUAGAAUUGAUGGGGUUUCGUUGGUGCCCGGAUUCGAGUUAAUGCACGGCGACGAUAGUAAUAACACGGCGACGGAGGGGGCAGGGCUGCUGGUCUGCUAGGUGUGUGCUGCACUGCGCCGCGGCAGAGGAGG